CCCUUAGAUGUUCUGGGCCGCACCCGCGCUACACUGAAGGAGGCAGCGUGUACUCCUGGAUCGAAAGAUUUGGGUAACCCGCGAAUCUCCUUCGUGCUAGGGAUUGAGGUUUGCAAUUAUCCUUCAUGAACGAGGAAUUCCCAGUAAGUGCAAGUCAUAAGCUUGCGCUGACUACGUCCCUGCCCUUUGUACACACCACCCGUCGCUACUACCGAUUGAAUGAUUUAGUGAGGACUUCGGACUGGGACCGAUGCGGCUUUCGGGCUGCGUCGGUAUUCUGGAAAGAUGUCCAAACUGUAUCAUUUAGAGGAAGUAAAAGUCGUAACA
rnacentral:rRNA from 1 species